UUACGGCCACAUCACGUUGAAACACCGGUUCUCGUACGAAGUUAAGCAAGGUCGUGUCUGGUCAGUACCUAGAUGGGUAAUCGCUUGCGAAUACCAGGCGCUGUAAG